CUUUGACGAUUUGAAAAAGGUUGCCAUGGUUACAGAAAUUGGAGGAGUGUCCAGCUGUGCGAGUCCUCAUGCCCCAUGAAUUGGCGGUCCAGUUCAGCCUUUUUGGACGACAUUGGAAACACAAGCUCCGUGACCCGCGUCUCUUUGAAGUUGUGUAUGGGACACUUAAAAGAAAUGGAUCCAUCUACAGAAUCACACAAAGAUAUGGAAAAGGCACUCUCAAAGUGGUUUACUGGAGCCUGUGACUGGUGGAAAUAGGAAAGUUAGAACAACUAGGGAGGCUGUCAGUUCAAACUCAGGUGGGCAGAUCUUUCAAGAUGGACAGUUUCAAUAAUGUAUGAGAGCUUUCUAAGUUUAAGCAUGCAUGUGACAUGAAGGUUAUUCUUAAAAAUGUUUGACAAAACGGUAUUGUGAAAGAUCUAUAUAGCUCUGGGUAUGUAUAUACGUAUA